UUAGUAGACACUGGGUUUCACCAUAUUGGCCAGGCUGGUCUCGAACUUUUGACCUCAGGUGAUCCACCCACCUUGGCUUCCCAAAGUGCUGGGAUUACAGGUGUGAGCCACCACGCCCUGCCUCUUCAGCUUUCUAAAGAAUGCCAAGUAUUUUCCAAAGUUGUUCCACUUUGUACUCCCUGUAGCAGUGUAUGAGGGCUCCUGGUAAUAUUAGGCUUUUUAAGUUUUCACCAAUUCAGUAGGCAUGUAAUGGGAUUUAACUAUAGUGUGAAUUUCUUCCAAUAUUUUGAAGGCUUGUGAGGAUUCUGUGAGGGAAAGAAGCCCUUUUGUUUAAGAGUUUCUUAAGGGGAAUUUUAACCAUAAUUGUAUUAUAGUUAUUUUUGAACAUGUAUAAAGAAAAGGUUUCCAACACUGAAGCUUUAGUUAAGAUAAAAGGUCAUUAAAAUGGGAAGGACCUUACCAGAAAUUAGUUUUCUGGAAUGUGCAAGAUUUUGGAAGAUGCAGUAUUUAAUUUUUUUCUAAUUAAUCAUCUUUAUCACAUGAGAGUAUUUUCACUAUGUGGCUGAAUAAUGUUAACCAGAUAAUUUUCCUGCAGUUCAUCUAACUUAGAUGACUUUUAAUCUAGACACGCACACCGCAGAGCGUGGCGAUGGAACAGUAACCGGGCUUGUGAGAGGGCUCUACAGUAUCAACUAGGAGACAAGAUCCACGGAUUCACUGUCAACCAGCCCCUCCAGCUGUUCUGGAAGCCCCAGCUUUGUGCUUCCAGCUACCAUCGGGGAUCCAUCCCACACUAGGAGAAGCAAAGACUGAUCCUGGAGCCUCUCCCCGCUGUCGCCAGCUAGCCCACUCCAGCAUUUCCCCUCCCUGCAGGCCCGUUCUGCGUACAACAGGAGAUUAUAUGCACAGAAACAGGAGACACACGGCCGAUGUUGGAAGGGGAGCUGUGUUACUGAGGAUAAGGGACUUGGACAGGAUGGUUCUGUUCUCUCCAGCUCUGAAAUACUGGCUUCCUGGUAUCAUCUAAUUUCAGGCAGAAAAGCCAGUUUUCUCAGUGUGUCGAAGAUCACCAUUUCAAAGGCCAUUUUGUCUAAGUUUAACUGGCUGUGUUUUUCUGGUUAACUCAAGUGACAUCUGUUCCCGAGCUGUUCCUGACGGCAGUGAAGCUCAGCCACGAUGACACAGGAGCCAGGUAUUUACACCUGGCCAGAGAAGACACGAAUAAUCUGUUGAGGAUUCCCGAACAAUGGACGGUCAGCUCUCAUGUCCUGGUUCAUAUCGCCCCAGCACACCACGGCUAGAAACCUUUCAGCCAACUUCCACUUAUGUCUCCAGGGGCAGGACAAUGUCACUUGGCCAAUCCCCAAGAGGGACUCCGGAAAGGCAAGAAACUAUUCUGUUCUUUAUAAUGGAACCUGACCAGGGAGAAGGCAGCUGGGAGGAUCAGCUGGGCCCUCCAACCAGCAACGUCCAACAUCGACCAACUGCCCUAGAGCUACACUGUGCUGGGCAUUUGGGGCACUGUUAUGAGCAAGAGUUUCCAUUUUUCUUCUCAUGGGACCUUCAUGCUAGUGGCAAGAGACAAUUUUUUUUUUUUUU